UACGGAGGGUGCAAGCGUUAUCCGGAUUCACUGGGUUUAAAGGGUGCGUAGGUGGGCUAGUAAGUCCGUGGUGAAAUCUCCAAGCUUAACUUGGAAACUGCCGUGGAUACUAUUAGUCUUGAAUAUUGUGGAGGUAAGCGGAAUAUGUCAUGUAGCGGUGAAAUGCUUAGAUAUGACAUAGAACACCGAUAGCGAAGGCAGCUUGCUACACAAUCAUUGACACUGAGGCACGAAAGCGUGGGGAUUAAACAGG
rnacentral:rRNA from 1 species